rnacentral:rRNA from 1 species
CAAUGGGCGCAAGCCUGAUCCAGCUAUGCCGCGUGAGUGAGGAAGGCCUUAGGGUUGUAAAACUCUUUCAGUGGGGAAGAUAAUGACGGUACCCACAGAAGAAGUCCCGGCAAACUCCGUGCCAGCAGCCGCGGUAAUACGGAGGGGGCAAGCGUUGUUCGGAAUUAUUGGGCGUAAAGGGCAUGUAGGCGGUUCGGUAAGUUAAAGGUGAAAUGCCAGGGCUUAACCCUGGAGCUGCUUUUAAUACUGCCAGACUCGAGUCCGGGAGAGGAUAGCGGAAUUCCUAGUGUAGAGGUGAAAUUCGUAGAUAUUAGGAGGAACACCAGUGGCGAAGGCGGCUAUCUGGUCCGGUACUGACGCUGAGGUGCGAAAGCGUGGGGAGCAAACAGGAUUAGAUACCC